rnacentral:rRNA from 1 species
GCCUAAAGCGUCCGUAGCCGGCUUUGUAAGUUUUCGGUUAAAUCCAUAUGCUCAACAUAUGGGCUGUCGGGAAUACUGCAUAGCUAGGGAGUGGGAGAGGUAGACGGUACUCCAUAGGAAGGGGUAAAAUCCUUUGAUCUAUGGAAGACCACCUGUGGCGAAGGCGGUCUACCAGAACACGUUCGACGGUGAGGGAUGAAAGCUGGGGGAGCAAACCGGAUUAGAUACCCGGGUAGUCCCAGCUGUAAACUAUGCAAACUCAGUGAUGCAUUGGCUUGUGGCCAGUGCAGUGCCGCAGGGAAGCCGUUAAGUUUGCCGCCUGGGAAGUACGUACGCAAGUAUGAAACUUAAAGGAAUUGGCGGGGGAGCACCACAAGGGGUGAAGCCUGCGGUUCAAUUGGAGUCAACGCCAGAAAUCUUACCCGGAGAGACAGCAGGAUGAAGGUCAAGCUGAAGACUUUACCAGACAAGCUGAGAAGUGGUGCAUGGCCGUCGCCAGCUCGUGCCGUGAGGUGUCCUGUUAAGUCAGGUAACGAGCGAGAUCCUUGCCUCUAGUUGCCACCAUUACUCUCAGGAGUAGUGGGGCGAAUUAGCGGGACUGCCGUAGUUAAUACGGAGGAAGGAGAGGGCCACGGCAGGUCAGUAUGCCCCGAA